AUGAAGUUCAGUGUGGAAUUUAAGCUUAUGCACAAACCUCAUAACCAAUAUGAGAAUUAAUCAAAUGAAAAUUAAGUGUUGUUACUGAAAUUAACAUUCUGAAGACUUACCAUUAACAGCUUUUUCAUAAUUCUUCCCAAGAUUUAUUAAAUUCCGCAGUCCUGGAUUGAAUUGUUCCAUUACAUUCUAGGAAACAGAAAGUUCGUGUUACGGCCAAGGAAGUCAGCAGUGGAGGAAAGCCUUUAUCUCAGUGCCACUUGGUUAUGCACACAGUGUACUAAGGAAGAUGUCUGCUGGCAUAUGGAGCUGAUGAAUCAUGAGAAUAGAAUGGACGAAUCAUGGAACUGUUUUAGGAUAGAGAGCCCUCUGUUCCAAGGAUCUGGGGGAGGAGAAGGGCGUACAUGGAAAAUGUGCACGCACAUGGCAGAGGCUAGAUUGUGAGAGCAAACAAAACCUGACCUCGCUCCCAGAGCUCACUUUUUACACAGUCUUCAAAGCAGUGCCAUUCCAGGAAGCAAUGUUCAGAGCACCUUUUCAGAAAAGGGAACCUGGCAGCUCCCUGUUCAGCAGAUUGGUAUUGCCAAGACGUUUUGCAUCAGAACUUUUCAACCCAGGCCAUUCUAUAACUCUAUGAUCAGUUAAAAUGGUUGUAAUGUUUUGUUGAACUUCAGAAGUUACACAGUUAAAAAAGCUAUUCAGAAAUCAAUUUUUAUGUUAAUUUUCAAAUUACGUCUGACUGUUUUAUG